UUAAUUAACCAAGCCUGCAAAAAAAAUUCUUACUUCAAGAGUUCCUACAAAUAGGGAGACUGUUGGUCUUGUUAGAAGAAAAAAUAUUUGAUGCAAUUCUAACCUUUUAUCAAUUGACGUUUUCCAUUGAUGUGAUUAUUAGAAUCACUUGCUCAAGAAGAUAAAUGGAGGAAUGAUGGAUGUGCUUUCUAGGAAUUGGUAAUGGAAUGGUGUGCUUUCUAGGAAUUAUUAACCUUUUCCCCUUCCUCUAGUUCUGUUACAUCCAUGACUUGUUGUGUAUUAUGAAAUGUCACCAUUUAAUAUAAAGUUGAUGGUGUUACAUUGGAGUUCUCUUAUGCUGAGAUUUGAAGUUGGUAAUAGAAUGAGCCUAUCCUUUUAAAGUGAGAAUGUCUUGCUUCUGCUUCUUCAAUUUGAAGAAAUUUAAGUUGGGCAUGUUUCCUAAUCAACCGAAACUGGUGUUAUAAUGCGACUGUGGACAUGGAUUCCGUAACCUUGAUGAGAGAGAGAGAGAGAGACUAUCAUCUUCCUUAGUGAAUAUCAUCUUCUAUUCAGUAUGCAUUUUCUUCCUUUUCUUCUUCAAGUUGUUGUCUAAUGAAUUCAAUGUCAUUAUCUUCUAUUCUUCUCUGUUUCUUUUUUCUUUUUACUUUUUGGUUGGAGAUACUAUACACACACAAUGCUCGAACUGCAUGGUUGGAGGGUUCAACUAUUUGGGAUUUCAGUUUGUACAAGUGGGGUCAUGGUUCAAUGAUCCAAAGCCCAAACCACUUAAACCAUAGACAUGAUGAACGUCACCCUGGAUGGCCGAUGCAUUAAAAUUUGUCAGAUUGGAAAAUCGUAGCAAUAGGUUUUUUGAUCUUUUUUUUGGUUGAAUUAGAGACAUUACUAUAUAUUUUUUCCUUAACCAUUAUUUUUUUCUGAACCAUAGCUCUUCUUCUCCAUUCAACUAUUUCGGUUUUCAUGACUUUUCCAUUAAAACCCAUCAAUGUAACUCCCAUGUAAUUUCUACAUUUUGGAACAUUAAGGGACUGAGUAUACCAUUCAUAUAUGCAUUUGCUGCCCACACUCCUAUAUAAAUUUGUCUAAAAUUAGCAAAAGAUAAUUUGACCUGGGAGAAUCUGUAAAUUCUUCACUCUUCACUUUCUCAGAUACUUUCCUUUUUCUUUUAUUUUCUUUAAGGUUAACUGCAUUAAUAAAACGAGGGGAUUAGAGGAUCUUAGAUGCAUUAUAUUUACUAAAAAAGGACUGUGUGAUGAUGUAAUCAGGUAUUUUCUUGCCAUGCGGUGUUACUAUUUUAUGGAAAAUUCCAAAGCAUCUAUUCCUUGGAGGAGGAUGACAAAUUGCUCUCUGAGUCUUGGACUCGUUUCCAAAAAUGGAUUGUGUGAUGAUGUAAUCAGGUUUGUUUUAUAGUUGUUUGUAUGUUAGUAGAUCAGGUUGAAUGUUGGGAUUCAUGUUCAGCCUACGAGAUCAGGUUUAAGAAUGCAUGUAUAUGCCCAAUCUGUAAAAGGGUCAGUGGAGCGUGGCACAUUUACAGUUAAAUGAGUCAGAUACCUUGCACCUGAGUAUGCAAAGAAUGACAUAGUUUCUAUAAGGACAGAUGUUUAUUCAUUUAGAAUUGUUCUGUUGCAACUGAUAUCAGGACGCAAUGUGAUCAAUGAAAAUCAAGAAGAGCAAAGCCAAUCUCUACUUCAAUGGAUUAAAAGAUGCUUUGGUGUUGUUAGUUACUGGUGAACAGAGAAGUCAUUGGUGAGUUUUUUUAUGCUCUUCUAUUUUUAGUGAAUCACACCUCAGAGACAAUACAAGCAGUAAAUUCAAUUUCCCUUUAAAACAGUAGAUUCAACAACUUCACACCUGAAAGCCCCUCCUGAUGCUAUUAAAAUAAUGUCUAAGUACACCCUCUGGCAAGCCCUGGAGACAUUGGAGGCAGAAUGAACUCUUAGCCUCUCUAAGCGGUUUUCGUGAACUUGAGCCACAUAUUCUAAGAUGGGUAUUCAAAUAGUUAAACAGACAAAUAAGCAAAAAUAUCUAUCGUAUGCCACUGGUAAGGAAAUAAAUGAAACUAAAGAAUAAGCUUCUAACUAUAAGCAGAUGGUGAAUCUGCAGAAUGUUCUGAAUGGCAGAUGGUGACUUCCUAACAAUAAGCUUAUAUUCCUGAAAUAUAGCAAAAUGUUCUAAAU